rnacentral:tRNA from 1 species
GGGGUUGUGACUCAGUGGUAGAGCGCUCGCAUAGCAUGUGAGAGGCCCUGGGUUCAAUCCUCAGCACCA